rnacentral:rRNA from 1 species
CGUCAAGUCCUCAUGGCCUUUAUGGCCAGGGCUACACACGUACUACAAUGGCCGGUACAAAGGGCAGCGACAUUGCGAGAUGGAGCGAAUCCCGAAAAGCCGGUCUCAGUCCGGAUUGGAGUCUGCAACUCGACUCCAUGAAGUUGGAAUCGCUAGUAAUCGUGGAUCAGCAUGCCACGGUGAAUACGUUCCCGGGCCUU